GAUGAACGCUGGCGGCGUGCCUAAUACAUGCAAGUCGAGCGAACAGACGAGGAGCUUGCUCCUCUGACGUUAGCGGCGGACGGGUGAGUAACACGUGGAUAACCUACCUAUAAGACUGGGAUAACUUCGGGAAACCGGAGCUAAUACCGGAUAAUAUAUUGAACUGCAUGGUUCAAUAGUGAAAGACGGUUUUGCUGUCACUUAUAGAUGGAUCCGCGCCGCAUUAGCUAGUUGGUAAGGUAACGGCUUACCAAGGCAACGAUGCGUAGCCGACCUGAGAGGGUGAUCGGACACACUGGAACUGAGACACGGUCCAGACUCCUACGGGAGGCAGCAGUAGGGAAUCUUCCGCAAUGGGCGAAAGCCUGACGGAGCAACGCCGCGUGAAUGAUGAAGGUCUUCGGAUCGUAAAACUCUGUUAUUAGGGAAGAACAAAUGUGUAAGUAACUAUGCACGUCUUGACGGUACCUAAUCAGAAAGCCACGGCUAACUACGUG
rnacentral:rRNA from 1 species